UACAGAGGUGGCAAGCGUUGUUCGGAAUUACUGGGCGUAAAGGGCUCGUAGGCGGCCAACUAAGUCGGACGUGAAAUCCCCCGGCUUAACCUGGGAACUGCGUCUGAUACUGGACGGCUGGAGUUUGGGAGAGGGAUGUAGAAUUCCAGGUGUAGCGGUGAAAUGCGUAGAUAUCUGGAGGAAUACCGGUGGCGAAGGCGGCAUCCUGGACCAAUACUGACGCUGAGGCGCGAAAGCUAGGGGAGCAAACGGG
rnacentral:rRNA from 1 species